CGUCGAGUAGCUGUUGCAGAGGUUCAAAGAGAUCGAAGGUUUUGCAAUUAAAUUGAAGAUCAAACUUUUGACUACACAAAUUAUAUCCAAAGGUAUUUCAAAGUUGAGCUACCUGAGCUUAAGCAAAAUGGUGAGACCUAGGGAUAAAUUUUGGGAACAUGUAGAGCAACGUGGUUUGGG